rnacentral:lncRNA from 1 species
GCUGUUAGUGGUGUGCAACUGCAGUGCCAGCUGAGCUAAUGAACUGUUAGGGAGGGUCAGUGGCCUUCAACCCCAGUGCAGGAAUCCCAACCUCUUGCUGCCUGGGGCAUGUGCAGCACUGGGACAGGUAAAUAAGUCUGGGGACGAAUGAAGCUGGACAGCAGCUGGCACAAAAUUCUGGCAGGGACGCAAUGCCCUGAAGCUCACAUGUGGGAUUUGCGGCAGACUUCAGCCAGGCUGAGCAAUGAGCGUUAAUGUUAAAGUGCUUUCCUGAGAGAAAUGAAAGCCCGGUGGAAGUGUUGGUUGAUAACACCACUCCCUCGCUCUUUGAGGCGGGCAAGAAACAUCCUGUUACCACCUGACACGCAGAUACAUCGAAGUGCACUUUCACUUGUACUUUAAAGACUCUGUAAGCCAGAGUGGUACAAAGAAGUCCUAGCAUCAGAGAAUUAAGCCUUGAGGCACAAAGGCCAGAUCUGUACUUGAAAAGGUUCCUUUGUGUUGCUGUGCUGGCAAACCCUCCUGCAAGGGAUGAAGCAUAUAGAUGGGGCUGACCCAGCUGCUGCUGGGAAUUUGGUGAUGCAGAGCACAGAGGCAGCAGAGGGAUUUCACCACCCCGAGGAAGCAUCAGGAGUAUUCAGAUGUCUCCAAAGGCAGCCAGGUACCCAGGGCACCAUGCGCCCCCCCGCCGCCCCAGACCUCCCUCCCACCGCAGGGCUUGGCGCUGGGUGGGUGAUAAUUGAAUAGGUGAAGUUUGUACUUGGAAAUGUCUUCUGUCUAUGCAGGUCAGAUGUAUAAUGAGCCUCCGUCGCACACCGGGAGUCGCU